UGGCGGACGGGUGAGUAAUGUCUGGGAAACCGCCUGAUGGAGGGGGAUAACUACUGGAAACGGUAGCUAAUACCGCAUAACGUCGCAAGACCAAAGAGGGGGACCUUAGGGCCUCUUGCCAUCGGAUGUGCCCAGAUGGGAUUAGCUAGUAGGUGGGGUAAUGGCUCACCUAGGCGACGAUCCCUAGCUGGUCUGAGAGGAUGACCAGCCACACUGGAACUGAGACACGGUCCAG
rnacentral:rRNA from 1 species